rnacentral:miRNA from 1 species
AAUGGAAGGCGAGGGGAUGC